CCUACGGGAGGCAGCAGUGAGGAAUAUUGGUCAAUGGGCUUACGCCUGAACCAGCCAAGUCGCGUGAUGGAAGACUGCCCUAUGGGUUGUAAACCUCUUUUGUCAGGGAGCAAUUGGCGCUACGUGUAGCGUUAUCGCGAGUACCUGAAGAAAAAGCAUCGGCUAACUCCGUGCCAGCAGGCGCGGUAAUAAGGCGGAUGCGAGCGUUAUCCGGAUUUUUUGGGUUUAAGGGGUGCGUAGGCGGAAUUCCAAGUAAGCGGUAAAAGCGCGGGGCGCAAACGCGCUGCGCCGUUGAAAAUGGCGUUCUUGAAUGGGCGUGAAGUAUGCGGAAUGCGUGGUGUAGCGGUGAAAUGCAUAGAUAUCACACAGAACUCCGAUUGCGAAGGCAGCAUACCGGCGCCCAACUGACGCUGAAGCACGAAAGCGUGGGUAUCGAACAGGAUUAGAUACCCGUGUAGUC
rnacentral:rRNA from 1 species